UGAGGAAUUUUGCGCAAUGGGGGAAACCCUGACGCAGCAACGCCGCGUGAGUGACGAAGGCUUUCGGGUCGUAAAGCUCUGUCGAGUGGGAAGAAAUGGUGCAGGUUAAUAUCCUGUAUUUUGACGGUACCACUAAAGGAAGCACCGGCUAACUCCGUGCCAGCAGCCGCGGUAAUACGGGGGGUGCAAGCGUUAUUCGGAAUUAUUGGGCGUAAAGGGUGCGUAGGCGGUUUUGUAAGUCAGAUGUGAAAUACCGGGGCUUAACUUCGGAACUGCAUUUGAUACUGCAAGACUUGAGUAUGGGAGAGGGAAGCGGAAUUCCUGGUGUAGAGGUGAAAUUCGUAGAUAUCAGGAGGAACACCGGUGGCGAAGGCGGCUUCCUGGACCAAUACUGACGCUGAGGCACGAAGGCGUGGGGAGCAAACA
rnacentral:rRNA from 1 species